rnacentral:piRNA from 1 species
UUGGAGUUUUCUUAUUCCUGGAGCAA